rfam:Fomitiporia mediterranea MF3/22 unplaced genomic scaffold FOMMEscaffold_18, whole genome shotgun sequence.
GGCCGCAUGGCCUAAUGGUUAAGGCGUCUGACUUCGAUUGUCAUACACUUGACAGAAAUCAGGAGACUGCAGGUUCAAGUCCUGCUGUGGUCG